UGGCGUCCUGUCUGAGGCCUCAAAGAUAACCUUCCAGUAUUCAUUCAGUCCAAGAAACAGGCCAUAGAGCCGAAGGACAAUGAUUCUGAUAAAGGCGAUGGCUGUGACAAUCAGAAGCCCCUGAAGAAACCAGCACAGGAAGAAAAUAAUGAAGAUAAAGUGGCAUAUGUACAUGAUUCAGGACCAGUUGAGACAGAUGCACCCCCUGGGAGGAGCAAGUGCCUUGGAAAAGCCCAGUGAGAAUGUAUCAGACUUUUGAAAUCAGAUGGAGGCCACUCACCGCUGUGUGAGCAUCUAUAUCCACACCCUCAUCACAUUACAGCCCUCAGGACAACAUCCUCACUGUCAGUCUGUGGUGGAGGCACCCUGUCUCAACCUUAGAAACGCUGGGAAGUUCUGACUUUUCAGUGUGUGGACAAUCAGAGGCUUGCAGAGCCUCCCAGAUCCAGGAAAGGACCCUGAGCCUUCAUCAAUUUCGCCUUUUCCUGACUGACCUGCUAGAGGACAUAUGGUGAAUGCCACGGCUGAUCUGCACUUUUGACCAGCUGCUCGAGGCCACUGAGAUCCUUUGGUUACAGGGCACUUUUAUGUCUUUUCAACCCCAUCAGAUAGAGUUCUUCACCCUCGCCCUUCAUUUUGUCCUUCUCGGGGAGAGCUCAUGCUCUGCCCCAUCCUCCUGCUCAUCCUUGCCCUCAUCACAGCUGCAUUCCUUAGCAAUGGACUAGUCACAGCCUUACCCCCUACCUAGCUGUUCUCACACUGAAAAGACAGCGCUCACUCUCCUAUUAUGGUCACAGUUCAUCAUCAUCAUAAUCAAGAAGGGUCACCCCUGUUUCUACUCCCCCUACUCUUUCUACCACACUCUAUCCACGUCCAACUCUUCCCAAAGAUGAAAAGUCAAGUGUACGCUACCUGACACAUGUGUCCCCUCUUUGUCCCCAAUUGGACCUGCCACCGCAGGAUCCCCCUUAAUGCCAAAUUGUACCUUUUCAUGUCCUAGCACCAUAAUUGCCCUAUUUGAUGAUGUAAAAAUAAUCAAGAAAUGUUUUGCCAAGCUGUCAUGCAGGUACAAUGGAAAAAUUUCACAGAUCAAUCUAAAAGAGAUAACAUAAACUAUGGUUUCUAUAAAACUCCUGAUCACCCUCAAGAGUCAAGGUUGUGUUCUUGCAUUAAACUUAAAAAAUGAGUCCCCCCGAUACUAUUUAUUACCAUUGCCCAGUCAGUCACCAACUCUUCCAACUGCCCUGCAAAGCCUGUAUGCUCCCCUUUUCCCCACUUCAGGAUUUCUGCUCCUCCAACCAGACCCUCUGCUCAGGUCACCCUGACCACUUCAACCGAGCCUCAGUACUUCCAUGCCAGAG